GGACGGGUGAGUAACGCGUGGGUAACCUGCCUCAUACAGGGGGAUAACAGUUAGAAAUGACUGCUAAUACCGCAUAAGCGCACAGUGCUGCAUGGCACAGUGUGAAAAACUACCGGUGGUAUGAGAUGGACCCGCGUCCGAUUAGCUAGUUGGUGGGGUAACGGCCUACCAAGGCGACGAUCAGUAGCCGGCCUGAGAGGGUGAACGGCCACAUUGGGACUGAGACACGGCCCAAACUCCUACGGGAGGCAGCAUG
rnacentral:rRNA from 1 species